rnacentral:rRNA from 1 species
GACGAACGCUGGCGGCGUGCUUAACACAUGCAAGUCGAACGGAAAGGCCCUGCUUUUGUGGGGUGCUCGAGUGGCGAACGGGUGAGUAACACGUGAGUAACCUGCCCUUGACUUUGGGAUAACUUCAGGAAACUGGGGCUAAUACCGGAUAGGAGCUCCUGCUGCAUGGUGGGGGUUGGAAAGUUUCGGCGGUUGGGAUGGACUCGCGGCUUAUCAGCUUGUUGGUGGGGUAGUGGCUUACCAAGGCUUUGACGGGUAGCCGGCCUGAGAGGGUGACCGGCCACAUUGGGACUGAGAUACGGCCCAGACUCCUACGGGAGGCAGCAGUGGGGAAUAUUGCACAAUGGGCGGGAGCCUGAUGCAGCAACGCCGCGUGCGGGAUGACGGCCUUCGGGUUGUAAACCGCUUUCGCCUGUGACGAAGCGUGAGUGACGGUAAUGGGUAAAGAAGCACCGGCUAACUACGUG